rnacentral:rRNA from 1 species
CCUACGGGAGGCAGCAGUGGGGAAUAUUGCACAAUGGGCGGAAGCCUGAUGCAGCAACGCCGCGUGAGGGAUGACGGCCUUCGGGUUGUAAACCUCUUUUAGCAGGGAAGAAGCGAAAGUGACGGUACCUGCAGAAAAAGCACCGGCUAACUACGUGCCAGCAGCCGCGGUAAUACGUAGGGCGCAAGCGUUAUCCGGAAUUAUUGGGCGUAAAGAGCUCGUAGGCGGUUUGUCGCGUCUGCUGUGAAAUCCCGAGGCUCAACCUCGGGCCUGCAGUGGGUACGGGCAGACUAGAGUGCGGUAGGGGAGAUUGGAAUUCCUGGUGUAGCGGUGGAAUGCGCAGAUAUCAGGAGGAACACCGAUGGCGAAGGCAGAUCUCUGGGCCGUAACUGACGCUGAGGAGCGAAAGCGUGGGGAGCAAACAGGAUUAGAUACCCUGGUAGUCCACCCCGUAAAUCG